rnacentral:misc_RNA from 1 species
GUGGGAGGGGGCUUGCUCCCGAUGGCAGUGUGUCAGUCGAUAUCCAAGUGACUGAUCCACCGCAAUCGGGGGCAAGCCCCCUCCCAC